AUGAAUUGUUUGGUCCUUCUAUUGAUGGUUGGCUUUAAUGUAUAUUUUUAAGUUGUGGCAGUGUAAAUUUUUUAGUCCACAGAAAUCUCAUCGAGGGGCCAAAGCAUUUGGAUAUGUUUGAAGUUGAUUCAUGCUUCCACUACCACCAUUUCUAGGACCGAUUGACGCUUCACCCGCACUAGUACCUACAUGGUUUGAAGCUCGUAUUGGAUGAAAAUGGCUGUCGAUCGAAGUCUACGAGCAUGCUUCAUCCACACCGAGAUCCAUCAAAUCAAGUCUGGAUUACCACCUACACUGCUUGUAGAGAAUUGACCCAAGACAGUUUUCACACCCCAAUGCACCAUGGUGCCCAUUGCUUCUGUUCUGCUCAUGGUAUGUUUUAACACAAAUAGUAGCAUAUUAUUUUUAGGUUUUAAUUUGAUUAUUAUUUUUUAUAUAUGUUCUUGCUUUUAUAGGAUAAUCUACUAGGAAUGCUAAGGCGAUUGGACAUGAUGUAGAGAAUGGUUUGCUGGUAAUUUAAUCAAGGGGCAGACAGUUGGAGUGAUCGGAGCAGAAACUCCUGCAUCAAAAACCAAUGAGAACAGAUGGAUAAGAAUGAAGUGCAGCCACAAGGUCCUUCCCAAUGCUCCAAAGACAAUGGCCACAUCAAAAGAACAGGAUGCUUGACUUUCACUCUGCUUGCUCCCUACUCUACUGUCAGCGCUCUUGCCCCUUUGAUCCUCGUGAUCAGGGUCAACAUGGUGAAAGAGGCCAUCGAAGAUUAGAAGCGGAAAACACAGGUA